CCUACGGGGGGCAGCAGUGGGGAAUAUUGGACAAUGGGGGCAACCCUGAUCCAGCCAUGCCGCGUGUGUGAAGAAGGCCCUCGGGUUGUAAAGCACUUUCAGUGAGGAAGAACGCCUGGUGGUUAAUACCCAUCAGGAAAGACAUCACUCACAGAAGAAGCACCGGCUAACUCCGUGCCAGCAGCCGCGGUAAUACGGAGGGUGCGAGCGUUAAUCGGAAUUACUGGGCGUAAAGCGCGCGUAGGUGGCUUGAUAAGCCGGUUGUGAAAGCCCCGGGCUCAACCUGGGAACGGCAUCCGGAGCUGUAAAGCUAGAGAGCAGGAGAGGAAGGUAGAAUUCCCGGUGUAGCGGUGAAAUGCCUAGAGAUCGGGAGGAAUACCAGUGGCGAAGGCGGCCUUCUGGACUGACACUGACACUGAGGUGCGAAAGCGUGGGUAGCAAACAGGAUUAGAUACCCGUGUAGGC
rnacentral:rRNA from 1 species